rnacentral:rRNA from 1 species
UACGGAGGAGGCAAGCGUUAUCCGGAAUUAUUGGGCGUAAAGCGUCCGCAGGCGGCUCAUUAAGUCUGUUGUCAAAGGUCACAGCUCAACUGUGGAUCGGCAAUGGAAACUGGUGAGCUAGAGUGUGGUAGGGGUAGAGGGAAUUCCCGGCGUAGCGGUGAAAUGCGUAGAUAUCGGGAAGAACACCAGUGGCGAAGGCGCUCUACUGGGCCACAACUGACGCUGGGGGACGAAAGCUAGGGGAGCGAAAGGG